GACGAACGCUGGCGGCGUGCCUAAUACAUGCAAGUAGAACGCUGAAGGAGGAGCUUGCUUCUCUGGAUGAGUUGCGAACGGGUGAGUAACGCGUAGGUAACCUGCCUGGUAGCGGGGGAUAACUAUUGGAAACGAUAGCUAAUACCGCAUAAGAGUAGAUGUUGCAUGACAUUUGCUUAAAAGGUGCAAUUGCAUCACUACCAGAUGGACCUGCGUUGUAUUAGCUAGUUGGUGGGGUAACGGCUCACCACGGCGACGAUACAUAGCCGACCUGAGAGGGUGAUCGGCCACACUGGGACUGAGACACGGCCCAGACUCCUACGGGAGGGAGCAGUAGGGAAUCUUCGGCAAUGGACGGAAGUCUGACCGAGCAACGCCGCGUGAGUGAAGAAGGUUUUCGGAUCGUAAAGCUCUGUUGUAAGAGAAGAACGAGUGUGAGAGUGGAAAGUUCACACUGUGACGGUAUCUUACCAGAAAGGGACGGCUAACUACGUG
rnacentral:rRNA from 1 species